GCAGCUCCCCGGCGGGAUCUCUCUAACCCCGUCUCCCUCCUGAGCUCUGAUCCUGCUCCUCCAGCUCCCGCGGAGCAUCUCCACCCCAGCGUGUCCAGAUUGACCCCGUUCCCUUUCUGCCGAGCCCUCCCUCCUUCCCCACAACUCUGGGGCUGUCCAGGGCUCCUGGGAUGGGGCCUUGGGGUCCACAGGUGCCCCACAGUGCAGGCAGGUGCCAGCCUUGCCAUUUCGACCCUCAGCACGAGAACGCGCCCCUUCUCUCGGGGCUCGCCCCCUCGGUCCUUCGGCCGGCCCCGCUGCCCUCGCUUCCCAAAGACACAUGGAUACAGUUACCUGGCGGCGCAAGGAAAAUCAAGUCAAACCGGGAACAAUGCAAGCAAACAACAGAGUGAGAGCGCCGUGUCGUGCAGCCCCUCUGGGGGCAGGCGGCUCUCCGGCCAAGCUCAUGGGUGAGUCACCUCGGGCUUGGGAAGAGCUGCGCCCGCCACAACUGAUGCUGCCGGGCACGAGGAUCUCCUGGUCCGGCUCCUUCCCCCGGCAUCGGGCCACAUUUCUCUGCUGCUCUCACUGGUGGCCGAGGGUCAGGAGGCCCCCGACCCAAACAGGCCGCGUUUCCCUUCUCAUUUGCUCUUUCCGCUCUCAAUGCAAGGAGUGGCGUCUCCAGUCUCCAUCAGCACUGAGAGCCACCCCCCAGCCCCGAAGCUUGGAGGACCAGGAAGCGGUCAUGGGAAGCCCCAGAACAAGGCGGCCUGGGAGGAACUGUGGCCCCCGGCUGCGGAGGGAGACAGACACGUUCCUUUGUGAAAAUGAGGGCUAGCACUGGCUCCCUAAAACUGGAAGGAAGCCAGCCAGGUCUGCUUAAGUCAGUGGCAAGGUCACGGAGGUGAGGCUCCUCAGGGCUCCUUGCUCCGGCCUUUCUCCCCAUCACCAAACCCUUGGGCUCAAUCCCUCACCCACCCAGGGCCUGGGAUGCCUUUCCUCCCGUCUGGAGCCAUCUCUGGCUUCUCCAGAACUUCACCUUCGGCAGGAAGCCCCCCUCCCCCCAGUCACCGUCUCCCCUGUCCCUCAACACCAUGUAGACAGACACGGAUAUCUCGUCUCCUUGAUUUGAAGGCGGGGACAUCAUUUUUGCCUUGUGCUCCCAGAAUUUGGCCCUCUCCUGGUACACAGUAAACAAUAAAUGUUCGUUGACUGAUUUUUUCUUCAUCUGCAUGAACUGAUUUCUAAGUUCUGACCUCCUUCUUCUGGCAAUGAUGUACGUUAAGUUUGCUUUGGAAGCAUCGUCGGCCGUGUGGAUGUCUGUUCUUUUAUCCAUUUCUCAUUGUAGGUGGGGAUUGUCUCAUUAACCCCUCCUACAGAAAUUAUACAGUUACAGUUAAGAGAACUGGAAUUUUAGAUAAUGACAGUUUAACGGUCCUUAGAAUAAUCGGUGGGAAGUCAGAGUUUAAAUGGCAU
rnacentral:lncRNA from 1 species